rnacentral:rRNA from 1 species
GAUGAACGCUGGCGGCGUGCCUAAUACAUGCAAGUCGAGCGAGCUGAAUUCAAAGAUCCCUUCGGGGUGAUUUGUUGGACGCUAGCGGCGGAUGGGUGAGUAACACGUGGGCAAUCUGCCCUAAAGACUGGGAUACCACUUGGAAACAGGUGCUAAUACCGGAUAACAACAUGAAUCGCAUGAUUCAAGUUUGAAAGGCGGCGUAAGCUGUCACUUUAGGAUGAGCCCGCGGCGCAUUAGCUAGUUGGUGGGGUAAAGGCCUACCAAGGCAAUGAUGCGUAGCCGAGUUGAGAGACUGAUCGGCCACAUUGGGACUGAGACACGGGCCCAAACUCCUACGGGAGGCAGCAGUAGGGAAUCUUCCACAAUGGACGCAAGUCUGAUGGGAGCAACGCCGCGUGAGUGAAGAAGGGUUUUCGGAUCGUAAAGCUCUGUUGUUGGGUGAAAGUAAGGGAUAGGGAGCAGUAACUGGGUUUUCUAGUUUUGACGGG